AAUUAGGGAUGUGAAGAGAAGAACAUAAGGAGGCAAGAAGAGAAGCUUGGGGAGAGACUCAACCAUAGAAGUUGCUAGCUUUGUUGAUUUUUGAGGUAAAAGGGGAGUCUCUCUUCACAGUGGGUUAUAUGAACAUAUGGGUAGUGAAGGGUUUGUGUUUUUUUUUUCUUUGUUUAUAUGUUUUUUUUAAUGAAUUCAUGUUAAAUUUAUACUCUAAUUUGUUGUUGUGAUUUUG
rnacentral:lncRNA from 1 species